rnacentral:rRNA from 1 species
AACGAACGCUGGCGGCAUGCCUAACACAUGCGAGUCGAACGAGACCUUCGGGUCUAGUGGCGCACGGGUGCGUAACGCGUGGGAAUCUGCCCUUGGGUUCGGAAUAACAGUUGGAAACGACUGCUAAUACCGGAUGAUGACGUAAGUCCAAAGAUUUAUCGCCCAAGGAUGAGCCCGCGUAGGAUUAGCUAGUCGGUGAGGUAAAGGCUCACCAAGGCGACGAUCCUUAGCUGGUCUGAGAGGAUGAUCAGCCACACUGGGACUGAGACACGGCCCAGACUCCUACGGGAGGCAGCAGUGGGGAAUAUUGGACAAUGGGCGAAAGCCUGAUCCAGCAAUGCCGCGUGAGUGAUGAAGGCCUUAGGGUUGUAAAGCUCUUUUACCCGGGAUGAUAAUGACAGUACCGGGAGAAUAAGCUCCGGCUAACUCCGUG